AGAAAAAAAAAUUACUGCCAUGGUAGAAUUUAAGGACUUCUCUAAAGGGAUAAUACAGCUGGAAUGGGAACACAAGAAAAUGAAAAUGCAGAUACAAGAUCUGAAAGAGAAGGCUCGGGAUAUUGUAAUCCUACCAAUUUCAAAAGAUUGCCAGCUAUUCCUAACUGUGCAUAACUACGACACCCACAUUGCUCAGCACCUAGCAGGGAUGGAGCAGAGCCUCAGCGUCAUGGAUAAGGUAAAUCCAAGGGAACCACCACAUCUGAGAGACACAUAGAUAUAUAGAUAUAAAUAUAGAUAUAUCAUGUAUUUGUCCAUCUGGCUUUCAAUAGUUUCCUCAGCUUGAGCUGUGCUGUCUACAGCAGCAGCUCUCUAGUGUUUGGAAGCAGUCAUCACAC
rnacentral:lncRNA from 1 species